rfam:Brachypodium distachyon strain Bd21 chromosome 3, whole genome shotgun sequence.
AAACUACUCCCUCCGACCGAAAUUACUUGUCAAAAUAUUACAUGUAUCUAGACGUUUUUUACACAUAGAUACAUCCGUAUUUGGGCAAAUUUGAGACAAGUAAUACCGAUCAGAGGGAGUGCCAA